GAUGAACGCUGGCGGCGUGCCUAAUACAUGCAAGUCGAGCGAAUGGAUUGAGAGCUUGCUCUUAUGAAGUUAGCGGCGGACGGGUGAGUAACACGUGGGUAACCUGCCCAUAAGACUGGGAUAACUCCGGGAAACCGGGGCUAAUACCGGAUAACAUUUUGAACCGCAUGGUUCGAAAUUGAAAGGCGGCCUCGGCUGUCACUUAUGGAUGGACCCGCGUCGCAUUAGCUAGUUGGUGAGGUAACGGCUCACCAAGGCAGCGAUGCGUAGCCGACCUGGGAGGGUGAUCGGGCACACUGGGACUGGGACACGGCCCAGACUCCUACGGGAGGCAGCAGUAGGGAAUCGUCCGCAAUGGACGAAAGUCUGACGGAGCAACGCCGCGUGAGUGAUGAAGGCUUUCGGGUCGUAAAACUCCGUUGUUAGGGAAGAACAAGUGCUAGUUGAAUAAGCUGGCACCUUGACGGUACCUAACCAGAAAGCCACGGCUAACUACGUGCCAGCCGCCGCGGUAA
rnacentral:rRNA from 1 species